CUCAGACAGUGGACAGUAUGUGUGUGCCUUACAAGUGAACAAGAACCAGCAGCACUGGACAAUAAUCACCAACACUACAGUCACUGUGGGUGAUACAAUCAAACCUGCCAAUCCAACAACCACUGGAAUUACCACUGUUGAGCACCUUUCUAAAAACAACUCACACAGUGCAGAUCAAACACUCCCCACCCCUGGAGAUGCUGGUAAGCGCAAUGGAAAAGCAUACAUCUCCCUCUGUUGAAGCACUAUGAUGAUAUGAUUUGAAAUCAUAUUUUUCAGAAUUCAAUCCUAUCUACAUGGCUGGCGUAGUAGUGCCCAUUAUUCUCAUCGCUGUCGUCAUCAUACUACUUAGAAGGAGAUCAGCCGGGACCAAAGCGCCUCAAACUGUGAUAUCCCAAAGGUAACCUUUUAGAUCUUGUUGUGUGUUUUGAUAAUUAUCAUUUGAUAAUGAUAAUUUAUUUUCAUUGGGAUGGGUCUCUAA